rnacentral:rRNA from 1 species
AACUAACGCUGGCGGCGUGCCUAACACAUGCAAGUCGUACGAGAAAGCCGGCUUCGGCUGGUGAGUAAAGUGGCGCACGGGUGAGUAACGCGUGGAUAAUCUGCCCUUAAGUGUGGAAUAACGUACCGAAAGGUGCGCUAAUACCGCAUAAUGCCUGGCAACACAAGUUGUCCGGCCAAAGAAGGCCUCUGUUUACAAGCUUUCGCUUCAGGAUGAGUCCGCGUACCAUUAGCUUGUUGGUGGGGUAAUGGCCUACCAAGGCUGCGAUGGUUAGCUGGUCUGAGAGGAUGAUCAGCCACACUGGAACUGAGACACGGUCCAGGACUCCUACGGGAGGCAGCAGUGAGGAAUAUUGCGCAAUGGGGGCAACCCUGACGCAGCAACGCCGCGUGAGUGAGGAAGGUUUUCGGACUGUAAAGCUCUGUCGAGCGGGAAGAAGUGUACCAUGGCUAAUAUCCAUGAUAUUUGACGUACCGCUAGAGG